AACGAACGCUGGCGGCAUGCCUAACACAUGCAAGUCGAACGAGACCUUCGGGUCUAGUGGCGCAAGGGUGCGUAACGCGUGGGAACCUGCCCUUAGGUUCGGAAUAACUCCCCGAAAGGGGUGCUAAUACCGGAUAAUGUCUUCGGACCAAAGAUUUAUCGCCUUUGGAUGGGCCCGCGUUGGAUUAGCUAGUUGGUAGGGUAAAAGCCUACCAAGGCGACGAUCCAUAGCUGGUCUGAGAGGAUGAUCAGCCACACUGGGACUGAGACACGGCCCAGACUCCUACGGGGGGCAGCAGUGGGGAAUAUUGGACAAUGGGCGAAAGCCUGAUCCAGCAAUGCCGCGUGAGUGAUGAAGGCCUUAGGGUUGUAAAGCUCUUUUACCCGGGAUGAUAAUGACAGUACCGGGAGAAUAAGCUCCGGCUAACUCCGUG
rnacentral:rRNA from 1 species